rfam:Microbacterium sp. Root53 contig_2, whole genome shotgun sequence.
GGGGCUGAUCGGUUUCGACAGUGCUUGCGAAUCUGCGAGAAGCGGGCCGAGGAUGCAGGGUUAUCUCGAAAACGCUCCCUGCAAAACAAUAAGUGCCAAUGCAAAGCGCACUGACUUCGCCCUCGCUGCCUAAGCGAGCCCGAUAGUCCGUCAGACCGUGGGUGAUCCCGACACGGAUUCUGGCGUCAUCUAGGGAUCUUGCUGCGUGACGGUGUCGGGACGUCACGCGGGACUCUUUCUCGACUGGGCCCGUCGACUUAGGUGUCUGUGACAAAGGUCGGGGCCGAGCAGAACGUCUUCACAGACUGCGCCCGGAGAAUCCCCAGAGACUCAGCGCUGGACGGGGGUUCGAUUCCCCCCAGCUCCACGA